rnacentral:rRNA from 1 species
CGAGCGGUAAGGCCCCUUCGGGGGUACACGAGCGGCGAACGGGUGAGUAACGCGUGGGUAACCUACCCAGAAGUGGGGGAUAGCCCCGGGAAACCGGGGGUAAUACCGCAUGCGUCGCAUCUGACACAAGUCGGAUGUGGCAAAGGCGGGGAUCUUCGGACCUGUCGCUUCUGGAUGGGCCCGCGUCCGAUUAGCUUGUUGGUGAGGUAAUGGCUCACCAAGGCAUCUAUCGGUAGCCGGCCUGAGAGGGUGAACGGCCACAUUGGGACUGAGACACGGCCCAGACUCCUACGGGAGGCAGCAGUGGGGAAUAUUGGGCAAUGGGCGCAAGCCUGACCCAGCGACGCCGCGUGGAGGAUGAAGGCCUUCGGGUUGUAAACUCCUGUCAGGUGGGAAGAAAUGCCCGCCGGUGAAUAGCCGGUGGGAGUUGACGGUACCACCAAAGGAAGCCCCGGCUAACUCCGUGCCAGCAGCCGCGGUAAUACGGAGGGGGCAAGCGUUAUUCGGAUUUACUGGGCGUAAAGCGCACGUAGGCGGCCAGGCAUGUCGACGGUGAAAGCCCUCGGCUCAACCGAGGAAUUGCCUUCGAAACUGCCUGSUUUGAGUCCGG